rnacentral:tRNA from 1 species
GGGGGUAUAGCGCAGUUGGGAGCGCACUUGACUGGCAGUCAAGGGGUCAGGGGUUCAAGUCCCCUUAUCUCCACCA